rnacentral:tRNA from 1 species
GGCUGGUUAGCUCAGUCAGUUGAGCGUGGUGCUGACAACGCCAAGGUCGCAGGUUCGAUUCCAGUUUGAUCCU